rnacentral:lncRNA from 1 species
GAGAUAUGUUCUAUAGCUCUAAGAGAUGUUAUGUUUCUAUAGUUCGAAUAGAGAUGUUUUGUUUCUAUAGCCUUAUAGAUGUUAUGUUUCUAUAGUUCUAAUAGAGAUGUUAGUUUUCUAUAGUUCUAAUAGAGAUGUUGUGUUUCUAUAGUUCUAUGAGAUAUUAUGUUUCUAUAGUUCUAAUAGAGAUGUUAUGUUUCUAUAGUUCUAAUAGAGAUGUUGUGUUUCUAUAGUUCUAAUAGAGAUAUUAUGUUUCUAUAGUUCUAAUAGAGAUGUUAUGUUUCUAUAGUUCUCAUAGAGAUCUUAAUCUUUGAGGAAUAACCCUGAUUUUAUUGUUCAUAUGAAAUCAAAUAAAAUCUAUUUAUAAAGCCCUUCUCACCUCAGCUGAUAUCUCAAAGUGCUGUACAGAAACCCAGCCUAAAACCCCAAACAGCAAGCAAUGCAGAUGUUGAAGCACGGUGGCUAGGAAAAACUCCCUAGAAAGGCCAAAACCUAGGAAGAAACCUAGAGAGGUACCAGGCUAUGAGGGGUGGCCAGUCCUCUUCUGGCUGCGCCUGAGGGACAUUAUAACAGAACAUGGCCAAGAUGUUCAAAUGUUCAUAGAUGACCAGCAGGGUCAAAUUAUAGAAAUCAACAUGUUAUAAAAUCGUUUGAAUUUUAAUAUAAUAAUGUUAAUCUGUAUCUACCAAACUGCUGCUGCAUUCAUUAGUAAGCAUUUUAAGAAUAUGAUCAUCCAAUUUUGAUGACUCAACCUCAAUUAUUUCUGAUGUUAAAACAAAACAAGUGGUAGAAAUAUACAAAUGUCGCACAAUAGAACUUUACACAUACCGGUUUAAAAUAAAUUAUAAUCAAAAGAAUUUAUACGUAUUAGCAUAAACUUUGUCUGAUUAUAUAUGCAAAUUGAAUUGUGAAAUUACAUUCAGGAAAGCCUGAAUUGUCAUCUAAAAUAUAGGUAACACCCGUGACAAAAAAGGCAAAAAAUAUUAAAAUACAUUAAGAUGGCAUUUAUGUUGAUUUAUAAUGGUAAAGGGUUAACUUUACUAAGUUUUGGUAAAAAAAAAUAAAAGUCAUGUUGGCUCUACAAAAUCGAUAAUUUCCGCAGAAUUACCCAAAUAACCUAUAGGGCCCUACUAAAGAAAUGUGAAGUUUUAAAUUAAAUAAGUUUGCUAAUAUGGGUGAUUGUUCAUGGGACAAUUGAUAGCUGCAACAUUUAAGUAGUUGUAAGGGUUAGGGCUGUCCGACUAAAAAAAUAAAUCUCACUUGACCGAAAGUCAUGUUAUGUCGACCAAUCAAUUGCUCAACAUUUAAACGUGUAUUUUUCCAUUUUAUACACACCAUGUGUUUUAAUAAUAUCAACUAUAUGCAUUGAGCUUGUCUGAUGCUUUAAGCGUACGGGUUGAUGCCUCAAGAGGGUGCCAGAGAUCAAGAUAACCAGAAGAAAAAAACCUGACCCAACUAUUCUCCUCCAGCAGAUUCUGCCAUUACUCUCUUGAAGUUGCCGGUGAUAGGCUACACGAGGAGUCUGCAACCUUUCUCAUGUGGAAUGCCAAUUUAUCUUACCAUUUCUACCAAUCUGCGUGC